rnacentral:rRNA from 1 species
UACGGGAGGCCCAAACGUUAUUCGGAAUUACUGGGCUUAAAGAGUUCGUAGGCGGCGCAGAAAGUAGGGUGUGAAAGCCCUCGGCUCAACCGAGGAAUUGCGCUCUAAACUACUGUGCUUGAGGAACCUAGAGGUGAGCAGAACAGAUGGUGGAGCGGUGAAAUGCGUUGAUAUCAUCUGGAAUACCGGAGGCGAAGGCGGCUCACUGGGGGUUUUCUGACGCUGAGGAACGAAAGCCAGGGUAGCGAACGGG